GGGUCCACAAGAACCAGAAGUCGCAUUAAUGGGAGUGAGCACUGUGACCUGACCUGCACACUCCGGCUGAACACAGCUCUGCGCUACAAUGUAAACAAACACCAUGUGAACCAGCAACAUUGUAAACAACACGGAUCAACAUAAACAUUCAACAGCGGCUCAGAGGUCUCAGAGAAACAGAUUUUCUGAAGAAAUGAGGCGUUGUGCCUUUAAAAGGAAAGCUCCCUCUGACUGGAAAAACCUGCCCGGUCCCACUCCCUCACAUCUCUUCUCAUCGUCUUUAAUCAUCACUUUUCAUCUUCAGAACCACGUUCUACCAUUAAAACUCUAUAGGUGUCAUUUGUGUUAAUGUUUAUUUAUGUAUACUGAAUAUUCUUGUGACUUCAUUCUAACGUUUUGUGUUUUCUGUGUGAAGAAGAAGGUUGUAUAUCUGAAAAGAAACGUUUUUAUCCCUU